GAAAGACGUGUCGUCUUUAUUUUGCUUUGUGGCUAAAAUUAAAACAAAAGUUCAUAAGGAUGAUUCUUUUAUUUUCAGGUUCACUCCAGACUUUACCUCUUCCUGGGUAAUUCGGGACCUAACUCUUGUAACCGCAGCGGACCUAGAAUUUCGCUUCACUCUCAAUGUGACUCUCCCUCAUCACCUGUUGCCCUUGUGUGCAGAUGUGGUUCCAGGACCCAGCUGGGAGGAGUCAUUUUGGAGACUCACGGUCUUCUUUGUCAGUUUGUCCCUGUUGGGUGUGAUUUUAAUAGCCUUCCAACAAGCACAGUACAUUCUCAUGGAAUUCAUGAAAACAAGACAGAGGCAAAAUGCUAGCUCCUCUUCACAGCAAAACAAUGGUCCCAUGGAUGUAAUCAGCUCCCAUUCUUACAAAAGCAAUUGCAAGAACUUUCUCGAUACAUAUGGCCCCUCUGAUAAAGGCAGGGGAAAGAACUGCCUUCCAGUGAACACUCCCCAAAGCAGGAUCCAGAAUGCUACAAAGAGAAGCCCAGCCACCUACGGUCAUUCUCAGAAGAAGCACAAAUGCUCAGUAUAUUACAGUAAACACAAAACCAGCACAGCCGCAGCCAGCAGCACCAGCACAACUACUGAGGAAAAACAGACUUCGCCCCUGGGCAGCUCACUGCCUGCUGCUAAAGAGGACAUUUGCACUGAUGCCAUGGGUGAGAACUGGAUCAACCUCAAAUAUGCAAGUGGCAUAAAUGUCAACCUGCAGAAGAAUUUAACCCUUCCCAAAAACUUACUGAAUAAAGAAGAAAACACACUGAAAAACACAAUUGUUUUCAAUAAUCCUUCUUCAGAAUGUAAUAUGAAGGAGGGAAUACAGACAUGUAUGUUUCCUAAGGAAACUGACAUUAAAACUUCAGAGAACACAGCCGAGUUCAAGGAACAGGAGCUCUGUCCACUGAAGGCCUCCAAGAAACUACCUGAAAACCAUUUACCAAGAAACUCACCUCAGUACCACCAGCCAGACUUGCCAGAAAUUUCCAGGAAAAAUAAUGGUAAUCUUUUCAUCCCCUUUGAUAAUUCUCUCCUGUUUGUCCCAAGUCUGUUUUUAAUGGAAUUUGUUCUCACCUGUGACCGUUAGUUUUAAUUGUGGAUGCUGAGUUUUUUAGUUUUAGCAAAGGUUUAAAUGUUGAAAAAAGACAUAUAAAAAGUUCAGGAUGAGACAUCAGGUUUUUAAGAGGUUUAAAUUUUAGUAUAUAGGUUUAGAAGACUAUGAAUAUUGUAUUUUCUUAUUGGGACGACAUGGACACUUUUUUCUAAAUUAAUUAAUUAAUUAAUUAAUGUAUUGAGAUGGAGUCUUGCUCUGUCACCCAGGCUAGAGUGCAGUGGUGUGAUCUUGGCUCACUGUAACCUCCGCCUCCUGGGUUCAAGUGAUUCUCUUGCUUUAGUCUCUCAGGUAGCUGGGAUUACAGGUGUGUGUCACCACACCUGGCUGAUUUUUGUAUUUUUAGUAGAGAUGAAGUCUCACCAUAUUGGCCAGCCUGGGCUCAAACUCUGACCUCAAGUGAUCCACCCACCUCGGCCUCCC
rnacentral:lncRNA from 1 species